rnacentral:lncRNA from 1 species
AAAGUCUUCGUCGCUCAUAUAUUUGCGCGACGAAAUUUCUGUCGUCGCGCCGACUAUAUGCGCGACGAACACAUUCGUCGCGCAAAACUUGUUUGCGAGACGCAUGUAUUCGUCGCGCAAGAAUUAAAAGUAAUUAAAAAGUUGAAUUUUUAUUUUUUGUGUGGGUUUGCGCGACGAAACAUUUGCCGUCGCGCAAAAAUAAUAUUACAUUUUUUUUAUUUUUUUUAUUUUUUAUUUUAAAUAAAAUUGGUUUUU